UGGGGAAUAUUGGACAAUGGGCGCAAGCCUGAUCCAGCCAUGCCGCGUGAGUGACGAAGGUCUUCGGAUUGUAAAGCUCUUUUUGGCGGGGACGAUAAUGACGGUACCCGCAGAAUAAGCCCCGGCUAACUUCGUGCCAGCAGCCGCGGUAAUACGAAGGGGGCUAGCGUUGUUCGGAAUCACUGGGCGUAAAGCGCACGUAGGCGGAUUUGUUAGUCAGGGGUGAAAUCCCGGGGCUCAACCUCGGAACUGCCUCUGAUACUGCAAAUCUCGAGUCCGAUAGAGGUGAGUGGAAUUCCUAGUGUAGAGGUGAAAUUCGUAGAUAUUAGGAAGAACACCAGUGGCGAAGGCGGCUCACUGGAUCGGUACUGACGCUGAGGUGCGAAAGCGUGGGGAGCAAACAGGAUUAGAUACCCCAGUAGUCCCUGAGCGGGCUGGCAAGGCGCAU
rnacentral:rRNA from 1 species